UGGCAAAAGGCCGCGAGCGGGUGCAGAAAAGAACGUUGGAAAAGGGGGAUACGUGGAACCCGAAGGUCGAAUUCCUGGCAAAUGGAUGGCAGCAGCUUGUAAAUCUCCUCCACCUCUGCAGUCCAGCCCGCUGAGUGUUGUAGUUCCUGACCAGCAAACAACUCCCCAACCUGUCUCCUUGACCUUCACUCUCCCAUCCCCAGAGGAACUCAUGGCUGAAAUCUGGGCGGGUAAACGCCAAGGUGUGCUGGAGCAAAGUGGGGCCUUAUAAGAUAUUUGCCACGGACCUGCAGAACCUGGCCCCCGGAAGGGAAAUCGAGAGCGAGGUUUUGAAUGCAUACAUUCACAACAUCCAGCGGCAAGAAACAAAAUUGAAAGUGCAUUAUCUAGACUCCUUCCAAAUGACGUCCAUGUGGCAAGGAUGUUACAAGGGAUUAAAAAAGGUCAUCUUUUUAAUCUGUUUAGACAUCCUUAAAGAUACAAGCGGCAUUUUAUUCAUAAUGUGUGUCUGUUUUCAGCUGGACCCGUUGGCCUUUGAUAUAGUCAUAGGACCGGUUUGCCACAAACGCCACUGGACACUUGUGGUGAGAAUAGUUGCAAUACCAUCAAGAACAAUAAAGA